CAGCAGCCACGGGAAUACGUAGGUGGCAAGCGUUGUCCGGAAUUAUUGGGCGUAAAGGGCUCGCAGGCGGUUUCUUAAGUCUGAUGUGAAAGCCCCCGGCUCAACCGGGGAGGGUCAUUGGAAACUGGGAAACUUGAGUGUAGAAGAGGAGAGUGGAAUUCCACGUGUAGCGGUGAAAUGCGUAGAGAUGUGGAGGAACACCAGUGGCGAGGGCGACUCUCUGGUCUGUAACUGACGCUGAGGAACGAAAGCGUGGGGAGCGAACAGGAUUAGAUACCCCCGUAGUCCCUGUCUCUUAUAC
rnacentral:rRNA from 1 species